CCUACCAGCCAGGGGAUUGGGCCCUCCUUCGUCUUCGGCAGCGGGCAGCUUCUUCAAUGCCCAGGACCACCACGGGCAAGCUCAAGCCUCGCUUUGUGGGGCCCUACCGCGUCGUCGAGCUCAUCAACGACGUCGCCGUUCGCCUGGCCUUGCCGCCAGGGGCGCGCCUCCAUGAUGUGUUCCACGUGGGUGUCCUCAAGAAGUUUGUCGGCGUUCCACCAGCGUCCCCGCCUGCCUUACCAAUCAUCCACAACGGCGUCGUGGUCCCUGAGCCGAUGCAGGUUACUCAGGCACGCUUGGCGCGAGGCGUGCGUCAAGUUCUCGUCCACUGGAGGGGCGAACCGGCCGAGUCUGCUUCCUGGGAAGACCUCGACGAAUUCCGCAGCAAGUACGCAGACUUUCAGCUCGAGGACGAGCUGGGUCUCGAGGGGGGGAGAGAUGUCAUGUGCGGGCGCACAUAUAGGCGCCGCCGUGACGCACGCCGCGCUGCAGAGCGCGCUGAACGCGCACAGGAGGAGGCCACAACCAGUGGAUAGAUUUAGAAAUAAAGAUAAGGCUAGAGAAUAAGAUUGAGAUGAGAGAAUUGUGGAGAGUUAGUUGGCAGCAGAUAAGUCCAAGAAAAUAGGAGUUAGUUGAGAGUUUAUAGGAGAAGUUGGUUAGCCAUAGGGCUAUUUAUAAGCCACAUGGCAGCAGGGAAUAAAGCAAGGAAGAUUAUUAUUUCCUAAUCUCUCUCUCUAAAACAAGCCGACGGUUGAGGGGAAAAACCUCACCGGCGACGACGGACCGUGGCUACGAACUCCGUAGUCAGGGGCCAGCUACCCUAGGUCGGGAGGUCCUUGACAUGGACUCUCUCCACCUCCUUCAGUCUUUCAGUCACAAACUCCAUAGACUCAAACAUACAGUCCCAAUUCCCUUGCACUGCUCGAUCUCUCAUCCCUGGCUUCCAGUAGAAACCGGGUCUGCACGGAUGGUUUUGCAGAGGGAGCCGUUGCGUCUUCUCUUCAACGAUCGCCGGCUCCGAUGGCUUUGAUACCAGAUGUGAUGACCCCCUGGCCGUGGGAAGGGGAUUUCCACUACAGCGUGAGAUUUCCAGCGACGGUGAGGUCACUGCAGCGAUGAGCCGAGACGUCACCAGGGGACGAAGCCAGGCGAUGGUGUGGAACAAGAAGCCCAGGGACGCAAGCGAGGCAGCGAAGGAGAUUUCCCGGCGAGGAAGAAGACGGCUCCUUGCCAGCAAGCAAACGUCAAAACAGUCAGGCGCGCGUCGGUGUCCGCGAGGAGGAUGAUAAGGGAGCUAGGCGGGUGGGCGCUGGGGCAUGCGAGUCGUAUGUGUUGUGCUUACCAGUAGACAAAGCCGGCAAGGCGAUGAACCCGUGACUGGAUCGGCAGGAUCUGGACGGGCGGCGGACUCGCCGGGGCCUCUCUCUCCUCUGGGAUCUGGAAGGGCACCUGAUUUUGACAGCCCCAACCUCGGUGGAAUGUGCCCCCUCCGCCUGCACGUCGACGGGGAAAGAGAUCAGUUGGUGUGGCUUGGUGCUGCGCAAAUCGAGAACGUUUCGUGUGGCAAAGUUCCAGUUAUUUCGUCUGUGGUGGUUACAUCUGAUCACGGGCUCAGAGCAUCUCCAGAAGAACCCUUAAACCAACCUGAAAAUCGAUAUUAGGAAAAAAUCCUUUUUUUCUGAUCCAACAGACGCCUCUUCUUCACCCCAAAAUAUUGGCGACCCGCAUCGAGCUCCUCCCUUGCCUUAUAUUUUCGCGUGCACCUUUCUUCCCCAAUCUGGGCACCCGCGCGCGUUUUUUCCUGCUGCGUACGUUGUUUUGGUGGCGGAGGUAGGAAGCGGUGGUGGCAGAGGGAGAGAUUCGGCUACGUUGGAGCCUGGAGGUGGAGGGCAUGUCGGUGGCUGAGAUGUAUUCCUGCCGCUACAAAUCUGUCAGCCUAAUCACGCUGUCACUGCCAGGCCUUGCGGGAGGUGGUCUGCAUCGGCGACAGCCUUCCGCAGUGGCGCAGCAGUGGAGGCCCUUGCGACAUACUAUCCAAGUUGCCAGAUUUGAGUCUGAUCCAGUUGCAUCCUCCUAUGGAGGCAGUGAUGGUCGUCAUGUUUUGUUCGAUCUUCCAGCAAACAGUAUGCUAGUUGAACCGUACUUUCAAGAAAUGUACUUGCAGUUCAUGUAAUCUGACAUUCUUUGAUUUUUUUCCUUUUUAUCCUGUCGACAUUCUGUCAUUUGAGUUUGGAAUUACAUUAUCUUCAGUUACUAGGUUGGUGGCAGCUGUUGUUCAGCAGUACUAGGGAGCAAGAUGGUCCAGCUAGUAGCAGGUUCUACCUGUUUUGUUCUUGCAAGUGGCACUGCUACCUUGAGCAUGUUUAUGGGUUCGUUUACCUUGUUUUUAUCUUCUUUCACUAUAUUACUCUUUAUGAUUCUGACAUGUGUUUUUGUUUCUCAGUUUUUUUUGCAUUCAUCAAAUUCUGGGUGGAGGCCGACAUUCCUUCAUCAUUUUGGAACUUGAAGUUGCUGUGUUUCAUAGAGUUUGAAUGCAUUCAUCAGUUUCUGGGUCUGAGUACUGUUAGAUUUCAUUUGUCUCACAUAAUUAGAAACUGUUAGCUAGUGUCGAUAUUUCAUUUACCUAGUGUAUCAAAAACUUGUGUCUCAGAUUAUCCUGGUUUUUAUUCCUUUGUUUGCAUCAAAAGCUUUAGCUGAUUAUCCUGAGUGUUUAUUCGUCUGUUUGUACUGAGAUACUGAAACAUAUGAUGCCUGAAUCCUGAACUCGUGUUUCUCA